rnacentral:rRNA from 1 species
GCGUUAAUCGGAAUUACUGGGCGUAAAGCGCAUGCAGGUGGUUUGUUAAGUCAGAUGUGAAAGCCCGGGGCUCAACCUCGGAACCGCAUUUGAAACUGGCAGGCUAGAGUACUGUAGAGGGGGGUAGAAUUUCAGGUGUAGCGGUGAAAUGCGUAGAGAUCUGAAGGAAUACCAGUGGCGAAGGCGGCCCCCUGGACAGAUACUGACACUCAGAUGCGAAAGCGUGGGGAGCAAACAGGAUUAGAUACCCUGGUAGUCCACGCCGUAAACGAUGUCUACUUGGAGGUUGUGGCCUUGAGCCGUGGCUUUCGGAGCUAACGCGUUAAGUAGACCGCCUGGGGAGUACGGUCGCAAGAUUA